UACGGAGGGUGCAAGCGUUGUCCGGAUUUAUUGGGUUUAAAGGGUGCGUAGGUGGCUUAUUAAGUCAGUGUUUAAAGUCUGCAGCUCAACUGUAGGAAUGGCAUUGAUACUGAUGAGCUUGAGUAAAGUUGAGGUAGACAGAAUUGAUGGUGUAGCGGUGAAAUGCAUAGAUAUCAUCAAGAAUACCGAUUGCGAAGGCAGUUUACUAAGCUUUAACUGACACUGAGGCACGAAAGUGUGGGGGUCAAACAGG
rnacentral:rRNA from 1 species